AUUCAACUGACAAGUCUCACAUAGGACGAAACGCGCCUCCUAGAU
rnacentral:hammerhead_ribozyme from 1 species